rnacentral:lncRNA from 1 species
AUGGCAGGGGUAGGGCUCUUUAUUCUUCUCCCCCACCCCCAGGAAUCCUUUGUGACUGCUUCACUGCUCUAUGAUGCAGGCUCAGAAUUCUCUGGAACACAGCACACACCUCAAGGCCCAUUGGCUGAGGUAGCAGGGAGCUUCAGACCUCAGAUGUUGGAGGCACAUCUCCUUUCUGAGGAGACUGAGGGAGACAUGAGUGUUGUUGGGCUCCUUCCUCUUCAUCCUUCCUCCUACAGGGAAAGAUUGCUACCUGCCUUCAGAAUAAAGAAAACAUCAGCCAGAAAAGAGAUAAGUCAGGUGGCAGUUGACGGGUGCCCCAGAAGAGGAAGUACCUGGUUAUGGGGGCCAACUACUGAAGACCAGGCUGAGGUCGCAGCUCUGUGUCGCCCACAGGACCAGGAACUAAUGCUGGACCUCUGUAUCUCUAUCCAUUCGCCUUCUGUUGAAAAAACUCCUAUGUCAUCUCCUUCUUUCAUUCUUUUAGAAAAUCCGCACUCCACUCCUCUCAAGGCUCUGUACUAGGAAUACAUGCGUGCUCUUCUUUCCUCUGUGAGUCUCAGUUUUGUAUUAAACUCAUGUUCUCAGAUCAGCCACAGAUACAGAUUCCAUCAUCGACAUUGAGAAGGAAUAAAUGAAUAUUUGUGGAGUAUCCA